AGUGAACGCUGGCGGUAGGCCUAACACAUGCAAGUCGAACGGCAGCACAGGAGAGCUUGCUCUCUAGGUGGCGAGUGGCGGACGGGUGAGGAAUACAUCGGAAUCUGCCCAGUCGUGGGGGAUAACGUAGGGAAACUUACGCUAAUACCGCAUACGACCUUCGGGUGAAAGAGGGGGAUCGCAAGACCUCUCGCGAGUGGAUGAGCCGAUGUCGGAUUAGCUAGUUAGCGGGGUAAUGGCCCACCAAGGCGACGAUCCGUAGCUGGUCUGAGAGGAUGAUCAGCCACACUGGAACUGAGACACGGUCCAGACUCCUACGGGAGGCAGCAGUGGGGAAUAUUGGACAAUGGGCGCAAGCCUGAUCCAGCCAUACCGCGUGGGUGAAGAAGGCCUUCGGGUUGUAAAGCCCUUUUGUUGGGAAAGAAAUCUUUCAGGCUAAUACCCUGGGAGGAUGACGGUACCCAAAGAAUAAGCACCGGCUAACUUCGG
rnacentral:rRNA from 1 species